GUGGGGAUGGGUUUUGCUGACCUCUCUAACUGGUUCUGCUCCGGUGUCCUUAACGGGGCUUCACGUUAGCUUGGAAGUGGGGGGAAAAAAAAAAGUGAUUGUCUAAAAAAGUUUUUUUUUUUUUUUUUUAAUAGCGUGCUCUAUGGGUUUUGUUGUGGAUGCCGAGAUAGGGACUCGAUGAAGGGAUUAGAAGUGCUGUAGGACAGUUGGUCGCGGUGGUGGUCUCUGUAAUCUUCGUCAGCCAUAAAACUUGAGGUACUCAUGGAGAUAUGCGAUGCAGUAGAAAUAUGUAAAGCAUGUAGCUUCGGAGCUGAGUUUAGACAGUUGGUCUGAGAUCCAUGAAUGUCUUGUGUGCUGGGAGUUUUGGCUAAUGUAAUCUAAUCAGUUUUAAAGGGCCAAGCUACAUUGUUUCUGCUUGUGGUGACUCUCGUCAAUUUCAAAUCAAUUUCUUGCUGGGUGUGUUUUUCGUGUUUUGCACGCCCUUGCCAAGCUAUUGUGGAAUUGCAAAGGUGAACCAAGUUCUACUUAGUUCCUUAAAGGUAAGGUACUAAUGAUUCAUUUGUUACUGUGCAAGAGGAGGUGUAUUUUUAUAUAUAGGUACCUUAGUAGUGGGAGUAAAUUGACGUUAACCUCACAACAUCCGUGCCUGUGGAUAGAAGGUGCUGUCUGGACUAGAGGAACAUCUGCUCAGGUGGUGCUUGCUGUGCUUUGGGCCACUCUGGUCCAGGCUGUUGCCAUCCGUGGUGACGAUAUCUUGCUGGGACACUUGGGGUUGGGUUUAUUUAUUUUUUUACAAGCCUGAUAGCAGGUUAAGGGUGCGUUAGGCAAAGUGAGGAUCAUCUGGGCUUGUGUUGUCCCUUGGUGUGGGUUCAAGCAUGUACCUGUCUUCCGCCUUCAUGGGUUGAGCCCCGUCCGUCUCCUGUCUGUCCUUCCAGCGCUGCCCGCUGCUGGGCAGACAGGCUAGCCUGGGGCUGUUGCUAGAAGGGCAUGGAUGUUGAGUUCUGCCAGGCAGACGGGUUUGGUAGGUAGCCUGAAUGACGAGUCUCCUGCAGGUAGUGUGGAUGCACCGCGUUGCCUGACGGCGUUCCAGCCUGCAUCUCCUGCCCGGCUCUGGUGGCCAAGGGAUGGCCGGCGUAGCCCCAGAGGUGAGGACACGGCGUGUUUGGAGGAACAGAGUCCAGCCAAGGACUGCAGCCAGGAAGGCAGGAGCUCCAUGUUCCUGAUUUACAGCUUCGCAGCAUCAAAGGAGGAGAAGGCAGUUAAGAAGUCAAAGCUGCUCAUAGAAACAGAGCUCUGCCAGGCCUUUUUUCUUGGAUUUUAGUACUGGAAAACUUCUCUAAUGACAACUUUGCUUAGGAGCUGAGCAUCGUCAUCUGCCCUGCUCCUCCCUGCUUGGUGUGAGAACGGCCUGAAGGACGUCUUGGAGCCACCUGUACUGCUUCAUGCAGUUAAAGUAAGGUUAAAUGUUUUGGCAGCUCUUUCAGGUAUAAGUGAGGGUUGAGGUGAGGGAUUUGGGGGAAUGGGUUUGCCCGGCUUGUCAGCAGGAGGGGAUGCUGACACCGAAACACAUGUUGUAAGCAAAUUUGACAGGUUAUUUUGCCAUAAAAUACAACUUCUUUGCAUUGGAAGCAAAAAAAAAAAAAAAAAAAAAAAAAAAAAAAAAAAAAAAAAAAAAAAAAAAAAAAAAAAAAAAAAAAAAAAAAAAACCAAACACAAAAGAAAGGGGGUGUGUGGUCUCAGCCCUUACAUCAACCAUAUGCUGUGGUGUAAAAUAGCACU
rnacentral:lncRNA from 1 species